rnacentral:rRNA from 1 species
AAUAAUGAUGGUAGCGACAGGUGUUGCAUGGCCGUCGUCAGCUCGUGCCGUAGGUGUCCCUUCAGUGGGUAACGAGCGCAACCCUUGCCGCAAGUUGAAUAUUCUUGUGGGACUCCCUAAAUUUAUUUUAGGGGGAAGUGAGGACGACGUCAGGUCAGCAUGGCCCUUAUAGCUAGGGCAACACACAUACUACAAUGGAGCCGACAGAGGGUUGCCAAGGAGCAAUCCGGAGCUAAUCCCAUCAAACGGCUUCUCAGUGGGGAUUGGGGGCUGCAACUCGCCCCCAUGAACGUGGAAUUGGUAGUAAUCGCGAAUCAGCAUGUCGCGGUGAAUACGUUCUCGGGUCUU